CAUUUAUGCAGCAGGACAUAUGCGUCUGGGGCUCCACAGAUAUACCUGGAGGCAGAGCUGAUAAGUGUUUAGCUAGGGCCCAUGGAAGAAGAAGAGUCUGGUUUUCAUCAUCAGCCCGUGUCCAUGGUCAACAUCCUCCCACCACAGCUGACUUCAUGCUACCCUCGUGUGGUCAGUGAGGAUGACGGGCACAGCUGGCCUCACAAGCCCGCUCCAGCACACUGCUGGCUGGAGGUCAAGUGCUGGGACUCCAGACUGGGACCCCAAGUGCUGAGACUGCAGCAGAUGACAUCACAGUCAGGUUAGAACAGGAGGAGAGCUGGGGUGGAGGCGGGGGUGAUCACCAUCCAAGGAUGGUCACACCCGUGAUCGGAAGCCCACCGGAGGCAGAGCUGGUCUGACAAGCAUCUGCUCUCCGUCAGGCAUCUUAUAUGUCACUGUCUUAACCCACACUCCAGGGGUGGGUUCUAUUAUCAACCUUAUUUUAUAUGUGGGGGACGGCAGUGCAGAGAGGUCAGCCAUUUUGAUGUGCCCCGCUGGGAACGGAGCUGGAAAGAAGCUGUUUGCUAGAAACAGAGACUGUUGCGAAGUCCUGGGUGGGAACCGAAGUGGUGAUGCAAACUGGUGACCCCGUCUGAAAUCUGCAGCACCAGACCUCACAGGGAUGCUCCGGAGCAAGCCCUGAUCACAACUGUGCCUGGCCCCAAGUGGUGAUGAGUCCAUCUUCUCAGUAAAAGGGCCGCUCCUGCCUGAACAAAGCAUGCUGCUUUCGGGGGAACCCUGGGAUGUCAGCAGCAUGAGGCAGAGCCCUCCUCACCAUCACCGGGGGAUUUUGUUCACUGAGAUGCAGCUAUUAACGCUCCGGCUUCUCCACUGCUUCAGCCACAAUUGUGUUAUCUGGGCAUGAGUCCCUGAUAAAUAUGUUCCCUUGA